AACGAACGCUGGCGGCAUGCCUAACACAUGCAAGUCGAACGAAGGCUUCGGCCUUAGUGGCGCACGGGUGCGUAACGCGUGGGAAUCUGCCCCUCGGUUCGGAAUAACAGUUAGAAAUGACUGCUAAUACCGGAUGAUGACUUCGGUCCAAAGAUUUAUCGCCGAGGGAUGAGCCCGCGUAAGAUUAGGUAGUUGGUGGGGUAAAGGCCUACCAAGCCGACGAUCUUUAGCUGGUCUGAGAGGAUGAUCAGCCACACUGGGACUGAGACACGGCCCAGACUCCUACGGGAGGCAGCAGUGGGGAAUAUUGGACAAUGGGCGAAAGCCUGAUCCAGCAAUGCCGCGUGAGUGAUGAAGGCCUUAGGGUUGUAAAGCUCUUUUACCAGGGAUGAUAAUGACAGUACCUGGAGAAUAAGCUCCGGCUAACUCCGUGCCAGCCGCCGCCGUAACAC
rnacentral:rRNA from 1 species